rnacentral:rRNA from 1 species
GACGAACGCUGGCGGCGUGCUUAACACAUGCAAGUCGAACGGUGAAGCGCCUUCCUUUUUGGUUGGUGUGGAUGAGUGGCGAACGGGUGAGUAACACGUGAGUAACCUGCCCCCUUCUUCUGGAUAACCGCAUGAAAGUGUGGCUAAUACGGGAUAUUCUGGGUCUGUCGCAUGAUGGGUCUGGGAAAGAUAUUGUUUCGGUGGGGGAUGGGCUCGCGGCCUAUCAGCUUGUUGGUGGGGUGAUGGCCUACCAGGGCGGUGACGGGUAGCCGGCCUGAGAGGGUGGACGGCCUGACUGGGACGGAGACACGGCCCAGACUCCUACGGGAGGCAGCAGUGGGGAAUAUUGCACAAUGGGCGCAAGCCUGAUGCGGCGACGCCGCGGGAGGGAUGGAGGCCUUCGGGUUGUGAACCUCUUUCGCCAGUGAAGCAGGCCUGCCUCGUUUGUGGGUGGGUUGACGGUAGCUGGAUAAGAAGCGCCGGCUAACUACGUG